GAGUGAGAAUUGCAGGAAGCCUUAUUCAGAGAUAAUUUAAUAGCUAGUUCCAAGGCGUCUUUCAUGCUAUAAAGAAACAAAAAAGGACCCAAGAAAAAAUGAUGAGGAGAAGUAUGGUGGUUGGGGAAGCCUCUGUGAGAAGGUGAUAUGCAAGCUGAGACCUAGAAGAGGAGAAGGGACAGAGUUUCAUAGAGUCGGGUGAAGGCAUUCCAACCAGGAAACAGCGUGGACAGAUAGCCCUGGAUGGGAAACAACUAUGGUCUUUGAGAAACCGGGAAGAGGCCAGCAGGCCUGAAGCAGGAUGAGUGAAGAGAGAGGGUGGGAAAACAGCCAGGACCUUGCAGGCAUAGGAAAGAGUUUGGGUUUUAUUUCAAGUGCAGUAAGGAGCUAUGGAAGGACUACGUGGCAGAGAUCAACAAUUGUCCACAAGUAUCCAUUCUCCCCUUUGUCCUGAUUCAUAAAAUCCACAAGGUUGAACUGGGCAUGUGGCUGCCUGGAAUAAGAACAACUUUUCCCAGCCUCUUUUGCAGAUGUGGUCAUGUGACUUAAGCUCUGGCUGCUAGAAUCCAAGCUGGGGUGGUGUAUGCAACUUCUGAGUAGUAUCUUUGAAAGGGGGAUGUGUGUCCCCACUCCUCCUUGCUGCUAUGUGGGGUAUAGAUUAAAUGGCUGGAACCCCAGCACCAUCUCAGACUCUGAAGUGACCUUGGAAAUAAAAGCCAGGAUUGGAGAUGCCACAAUGUAGACAGAGCCUGGAUUCCUGACUCCGUUGAACUGCCAUAGUCUCAGGUAGCCAGCUGCCAGAUGCUUCUGGGAGGGAGGGAAAAGCAUCUAUCUUGCUGAAGCCACUGUUAGUGUGCAUUUUCUGUCACAGCUAAACCUAAUUCUAACUGAUAAAGGCUUUCAGGAGGAACCACAUGAUUCCGUUUAUCACAUCAGAAGCUCCCUUAGGCCCUUGUGAGGAGCAGAAGAUUGAAAGGGAGUGAGUACAGAGCAGGGAGAUAGGGGCAGAGGCUGCUGCAAUCAUCCAGGCAAAUGAAUGAACAAAUGAAUGAAUGAAUUGUAACCGGACCCAGGUUCAGUUGCUCUCUGCUUGAAAGCCAAAACUCAAGAAAUGAGACUUGGUGGGAGGAAAAACAGGUUUUUCGGGAAGCCAGCAAACGGAGAAAAUGGUAGACUACCAUCCUAAAAUGCCAUCUUAAGUCAGCACAAAUUUCAGGCUUUUUUUUAUGUUAAGGGCAGGGGAAGAAGAGGGAGUUGGGAUCAAGAUGUGACUGAUGACUGCAGACCUCUGGGUGCCAGUGAGGGCCUGAGGAGUUUGGGAACUUCUUUGUCCUUGGUCAGGUCACAAUGCUCCUGUAAAUCUUUAACAAAACACAGUUGUUUACAUACUUUCCCUUUAACCCCAGAGUUAUUUUUUAAAACUACAUAAUUGCUGUUUUUGUGUAUUAUCUAUAUGGAUCUUUAACAAAACAUGAUUGUUUACAUACUUUCCCUAUAACCCCAGAGUUGGCUUUUAAAACUACAUGAUUGCUGUUUUUGUGUAUUAUCUCAGUGCUCUAAAAUUAUCCUAGCCUACACGCGGGCAUGGGUUAAAGCCCCUUACACAAAUACGGUGAGUGUUACAUUCUUUUGCUGUUUCGCUGUUGCUGAAUGAAUGACUGAAUGAAAGCAUCUCCCAAGGCUGCCUGCUUGCUUACCUUCUCACAUGAUGCUUCUUUGCCUCUCUGUUCCUUAAGGAGCUUUCCCUCCCUUCUUUCUUGCCCCACAGUCCCCAAACUCACCAGUGUGGGCAGAAGGAGAAAAGGAAUGUUCUAUCCAGCCCCAUACCCCAGCACCUGCUGGGCAACUUUGUCUUCCCUUCUGCAAAAGAAAAGAAGUCCCCUCAAACACAGGAGAGGAUGGGAAAAGGCAUCUCUCUAAGCAGUAACCCUGGCAGGGCCCUUCAGGAUUCCCAAAUUCCCAAUUUAUAGACAGGGAAACUGAUCCCUAGAGAAGGGAAGGGACUUGCCCAUGUCCACACAGCAUGUUAGUGGGACACAUCAUGAAACAUAAAAGCAGGAAGAGGGUCUAGAAACCAUCUAGCCCUACCCCCUCAUUUAGAGAAAGGAAAACCGAGGCCCAGAGAGGGAGAGUUAGUGACAGAGCCACAACAAGAACUCAGAAGAGGGUCAGCUGGUGUGCAACCAGCUCAGUGACACAAAAGCCUGUGCUAGGGAUUUAAUGUUCUACUGUCGUGUCUUGAAAUUCUUCAUAUCUUAUCUGUAAAUGUGUAGUUUGUAAAUGAAGUCUGUGAGAUAACACAGCAGGCACCCAGGCCAACAGCCUCAGUUCAAGUGCAGUCCGGCCCCUCCCUCACCAGGUGGGUUCUCAGUGCCAGCUUCCCCAACCCCCUGCUAUCUCCUCCUCACAUCCCUUCUUCUCUCUCUUCCCCCCAACAGCUGCCAGUCUGCUAUCUGCAGGGCACUGGCACGGGAGGCUGAGCAUGCACAUCCCACAGCAUUUGGGUAGGACACGACUGCAGCCAUGCCUGCCCUAGAGGUUGAUGACAUCGUGGUGCCUUCAAGGGGGGAAACUGGCAGGGCAAGCCUUUCCCCUAUGCUAGAGCCUCUGACAUGGAGGUUGCAAGAUGUGGGGGUACCUGUCCACCAUGGAUUGGGGUGAAGGGCCUGUGGGAAAGGAGGAUGCCUGGCUUCCCUUCUCCGGGUCCUCUUGCCUCAGUGUAGGGGACCUGGCAGCAGAUGGGCACUGGUGGGCCACACUGCAGGGGAAGGCUCCUGGGUGCCUUGAGGGCCUCCGUGCUCCUCUCCAGUAGCUCCAUGCCCAAGGUAGCAUAGCAUUAAAUAGCAAAUACACAGCACAAGAGGGGCCACAGAAGUGGGGUGGGGCUUUAUGUUUGGGUACCUCUCUCCUGCCUGUGGAACAAAAGGCUUGUGUUUGCAAUGUGCCCUGGGCUGUCACAUUAGGUAGCUGUCCUGACUCAGGACUUCUGUUGCUCUGGCCACCAGCCCCCAGCACUCAGCACCGCUGGACAACACCGGUGUAUUCACGUUCAGUCUAGUGCGUUCCCGGCCCUGUGCUGGGCCUCUUUUCCCUGUUUUCUUGUUUGCAGCCUUGUCGUAACUGAGUGAGGUGUGCACUAUUAUUAGACUCAUUUUACAGGUGAGGAAAGACAGCUGCCCAUAGGCUGAGUUAACUUGUCCACGUCCUCCACCAGGGAAGCAAGAGAGCCAAGCUCCCCACCCAGGUGGCCUGGUGCUCCUGUCCUGGCCCGACAUGCGGGCAGUCGGGCCGUCGGGAAAGGAAAGCGCAGUGUAGAGGAGCUGCUUCUCACCGCCUCUCCUCCCCUCCCCACCUUCCCCGGGAACUCAUGCCCCUCCCCUGCACUCCUGCUCCUUGCCGGCUCGCCCUGGGCCGCUCCGAAGGGAGGAGACCACGUGACCCAGGUCACCGGUAACCAGGCAACCGUUCCAAGACACUGCUUUUCAUCCACUCUGGCUUCUACCUUAUUCAAUAUCUGCCAGGCGGGCAAGGCUCCUGGGAGCAUCCCUGAAGUAAUUCUAAGAAAUAAGGCUUGCUGGGGAGGCCUGCGGGGACAUCUAAUAUUCUUUCUCUCUGAACUCUGUGCCCCAAAGUCGUGAACUUGCCUGUUGGGGAUUCUGAGUGAAUGCUGGAAAUCCAGAUUCGUUGGGGCCAGAGUUUGCCCUGCGCAUGAGGGAGAGGGUGUGGGGUAUGGGCAGAGGUGGCAAGGGAGGCUUUGUGAAACGUUACACUCUGCUUCCUCAACUGCAGGCCAUUUCUCUGGGCCAGGAGCCAGCUGUUCCCAAAAUGGCCACGAUGCCUCAGGAGGGAGGUUGACACCCUGUGCUCUCAGAAGCAGCUCAGAGCUCAGAGGCAGACCUCUACUCAUGCAAUUCUGCCUUCUGUGCAUGCAAUGGAUUGCUGCCAUCUCCAAUCAGCCACAAUGGGAGGCCACCUGCUAGACAUGGAAGAGCCACCGGAUGGAAGAAGCCUGGGUCUCUGAAAUACUGCUUGGAGUAGACUACUCUGCCUGCAAACUAGGAGCACUGAUUUUGGACUUUUUGGGAGAUCUGCUGUGAUUAUUCCUUUUCACAAACCACAAUGACUCUGGAAAACCUGGCUGUAAACACCAGCACUGCCACCAGCUAAGGAUCUGUGAUCAGGAGUGCCAUCUCACGGUAACAGGAAUAUGAAGUCUGAGGUUUCUGCUCUGACAAGAGGAAAUGUCUAACAGCAGAAGACAAAAGUGAAACCGGGCUGAUGCGAAUCACUGGGAAACUGGCUUUGGCACCUCCAGAGAAUGAACUGUUUCAUAGCCUAGCUGACCAUCCAUGAAAAUGGCUGCCUGGAGAGGCAGUGAUCAGCCCAUCCCUGCAGGGUGAAGAUAAGCUUGUGCAGGCCACUGGCUAACACAGUUCAUCCCAUGCCUCCUACAUACCAAGCACUGUGCCAGGCACUUUUCACGUCUGGCAUCCUCAGAAUCCUCCAAAAGGAGAGGUUCGUGGAGGAUAAUGCUGUCAGGCUUGGAAGCAGCAGUAGAGAUCACGUUGCCCAGCUCUUGGCAUCAUUGGUUCCCAAAGCUCUGAAUCCCCUGGAGAGCUUUUGUAAAAGGUCGGAUUCAGACAAUCCGGUGGAGCACUCUGAAAUUUAGAGGAAGUGGUCAAAUAGAAUUUUCUGGAAUUAUGGAAAUCUUCUAUUCUGUGCAUCUAGUAUAGUAGAAUCUAGUCACAUGUGGCUUUUGAGAACUGGAAAUAUGGCUAAUGCAACAGAGAAAGUGAAUUUUUACUUUUGAUUCAUUUAAAUAUAAAUGGUCACAUAUGACAUCACUGCCAUAUUGGACAUUGCAGUUCUGGAAGAUGGCAGAUGCAGCCCUCAGAAGAAUUAUCAGCCUGAAUGUCUGGGCGGAGCAGAGCACUACCUUCCCACUCACUCUUCCCCUCCUCUCGCCCCCUCCCCUGCCUCACUUGCAUCAGAUUAUGAUGUGAGCAAAAGCAGGAAACAGCUCUUUUGAUAGGCCUGUGAGACUUGCUGUUCGUUGGAGUAGCUAGGCUGCUCUGACUCAUACAGACCCAAAUCCUGGCAACCACUUUUAUGAAGAAAUGACAAUUCAGUCUACUACUUGUCCAUUUUACAUGCCCAAGGAAUGUGAGGGGCCUCUGCUUGGAUCUAGUUUUCAACCUAGUCUAUGGCAUUGAUUAUCCUUUUAAAAGACAAAAGAGGUGACUUCACGGGCACUUAACAUCUUGGCCAUACUGACCCCAGUUGCACGCUACGUAGGAAGUUUUAGUCCAUUUAAACUGAAGUUCCAAUUUUUUUUUUAACAACUAUUUAAAAAUUGUACAUGUCCCAUACAUGACAGAGAAAGGGUUGUCUGGUUGGAUGAUUUUUGGCUUGCAAAAAGAGAACACAAAAGAAAAGCAUACGUUUUAAUACUCAAGAGACCAAAUUUUCUGCUGAAGAGGAAAUGAACUACAUAUCCAGAAGGGUCCUACCAAGAGGCCAAACAGACUGUGUUCUCUUGGGGGAGUUCUCAGUGGUGAUGAGAACACCACUUUUUUUUUUUUUUUAGUCAUUUUCAAGGUGAGAUAUUGACUUGCUGCUGGAGCAGGACAACUGGUCUCUCUUUCAUUGCUAGCAGCAGAGUAAGGGUCUUGCAAGUUUCAGGCAGCAGCAGAGAAAGGGUCUUGCAAGUUUCAGUCCAAAGCAAGAAGAGCUAGGAUUGCACCAGCUGUCUCACCUACUCUGUGCUCACCUGUUUCUGGAUGAAGCACGGUGACAUCUGUUUUAUUGUAAAGAGAACCAACUUUGGAAUCAAAUGGAACCUGUAUUAAAAUCCUGAAUCCGUCACUAGCUUGGACAAGUCACUUCACUUCUCUGAACCUUGUUUUAUUCCAGUUAAGAAUAAUAGUAAGCCAGUCCCACAGAGCUGUAGCAAGGUUAAAAUGAAUGGUUGUCUGUAGAAGCAUUUAAAAUAGGGCUUCAUACAGAGCCAGUACCUGGGGAGACUGAGGGUUUGAACCACAUAGUUCCACUCUGGCAAAUCACAGAGGGGCUGUAGGAUGGUCCUUUAAGGGGGAUGUGUUAUGGGUUAAUUGGAACAGUGCUUCUUAAACUCCAGUGUGCAUUCAUAUUGCUUAGGGGUUUUGUUUAAAUGCAGAUUCUGAGUUACUAGGAUUAUGCAAUUUGAAUGAGCUUGCAGAUAAUUUCAUGGCUGCUGGUCUCUGACAUCACCUUUGAGAAGCAAAGAAUUAAAGGUCCU
rnacentral:lncRNA from 10 species